UUUCGUGUAAAAAAAUAUGGGUUAUAAAUCCAUAGCAUAAAAUGCUGCAGAGAAAAUCAACGUAAAAAUAUAUAUCGACGUAUAAAAAAAUUUGAGAUUAUUUUCGUUUUAAUCCACAUAACAAAAUACAGAUUGUACGCGUGUAUAAAUCAUGAAUACUAAAAAAUGCAGGAGAUUUCGUUGGGCGCGAGUUAUGCCAAAAAUUGAUAACAAAGCCCCGUAUUUCAAUGUGUCAGCCUAUUUGAAACCGUUUAAAUUGCGGCAAGAUAUCGGGCGAACUAGAAAACUAGAGCAGGAAAACUUGAACCUAUUGAGGAAAAUGAAUGUGAUUCAUCGUCUCGGGGGAAAGGUGGAUUGUUGGGCGCCGGAUGUUGAGUACAAAUCGAAACUCCUAUAUCAAGAGCGAAGAAAUAAAGAAAUCAUGAGAGAAAAUCAACAAAUGCUGAAGAAAAUCAAUAGAGCGACGAGUAAAUAUCCAACACGCGAGUCACUAGAGGACUGGAAAAAUCGGCAACGGCUGAUACAACACCGCUCAAGAUUUUUUUCGACGAUUGAAAGACAGUCCGCUAAAUUGGACAUCGAGAAGCAAUUAGUCUCUCAGAAUCGGACGAAAUGCUUCUUUGACGUUGGGCUCAAAGACGAGAACUGCAAUUUCGGGCGAAUAGUAUUCGAGCUCUACGACGAUAUCGCACCGCGAACAUGCGAGAACUUCGCGGCUCUCUGUCGCGGCGGCAACAAUGGAUUGUCGUAUAAGCGCACCCCAUUUCAUCGUAUCGUCGUCGGAUAUUGGUGCCAAGGAGGGGACGUCACGAGGUUUAACGGCACCGGUGGUACCUCUAUAUACGGCGAUUCAUUUGAAAACGAGAACUUUGAGCUGCGCCACGCAGGACCCGGCGUCCUGUCGAUGUGCGCCGACGAUGAGGGUAAAAAUGAUUCCAAAUUCAAUCUCACGUUUAAGCGCUUGGAGACUGUAGACGGACGUAAUAUCGUUUUCGGUCGAGUGACUGACGGAAUGGUGAACGUUUACAAGCAUUGACAACUGACCGUUUUGACAUCAUUGAUUAAUAUCGAACGGGAACGCGCGGUCAUAUGCGGCCAUCUAACGGGUAGCUAGUAAAUUAUGAAGAAAGACAAGUCUCAGUUCGAAUUAUCCGUUCUUCAAGAAAGUCGAUUUGCAUUUAACAUGACGUACAGUCUUGUUACCUGUUUUUUACGGAGAAUAAAAAAAAGAGUGAAAGAGAAGGGAUGAAGCUGGUGUCGGUGCCGUACGGCGCAUCGUGUUUCACGAGAAUUUAAUUACCGUCGCGCGUUCAAAUUCAACCACACAGUUGCGGUAAACUGUUUAUAUCUGCCACGAUUAAAUAGAUCGAGGAGUCUGGCACGAAAAUCGGAAAGCCAAUAAAAUCGGUGAUCGUAUUAAAUUGCGGAGUUCUGUCGGCGAGGCGUACGCACGAAAAACCAUGCAAACCUCAAAUAUAAACAGACUGCAUUAUCAUCGUGGGUGAAAAUAUAAUUUAUUGUAGUGGACUGAUUGUAUAAUUACAAGUACUGUUGUUGAGUACUCAACAACAUUUUCCAUCGGAAAAUUGAAUGAAUCUAGAAGCCAAUGUGGCGCUAUGUGAGAAGCCAAAUAAAGAGUAUGCUAA